CCUACGGGAGGCAGCAGUGAGGAAUAUUGGUCAAUGGACGAGAGUCUGAACCAGCCAAGUAGCGUGAAGGAUGACUGCCCUAUGGGUUGUAAACUUCUUUUAUAUGGGAAUAAAACAGGGUAUGCAUACCCUCUUGUAUGUACCAUAUGACUAAGGAUCGGCUAACUCCGUGCCAGCAGCCGCGGUAAUACGGAGGAUCCGAGCGUUAUCCGGAUUUAUUGGGUUUAAAGGGAGCGUAGGUGGAUUGUUAAGUCAGUUGUGAAAGUUUGCGGCUCAACCGUAAAAUUGCAGUUGAAACUGGCAGUCUUGAGUACAGUAGAGGGGGGCGGAAUUCGAGGUGUAGCGGUGAAAUGCUUAGAGAUCACGAAGAACUCCGAUUGCGAAGGCAGCUCACUGGACUGCAACUGACACUGAUGCUCGAAAGUGUGGGUAGCAAACAGGAUUAGAUACCCUUGUAGUC
rnacentral:rRNA from 1 species